ensembl:snRNA U12 U12 minor spliceosomal RNA
AUGUCUUAAACUCAUGGGUAAGGAAAAAACAGUGGGGGUGACACCUGAAUCCUCACUGCUAACGUGAGAUGGACUUUUGAGUGGGUAAAGGUUGCCCCUAAGGUGACCUGCCUACUUUGUGGGAUACCUGGGAGCUGCAAUCUGCCCA